rnacentral:rRNA from 1 species
AUGGCGUGUGCGUGCGCGGUGGCCGCGCCAUCCCGGGCCACCGUCUCCGGCCCCGGCGCAGCCCCGCCGCCGGGGCGCGGCUCCCGCGUGAGCUGCCGGCGCUCGGCGAGGAGACGCGCCGGCGGUCGCGCUCGCGUGUCCCGCGACACCAACGGCGCCGAGGCGGAGCCGGGCAGCAAGGGUCCAAUCCCGCAGGAUGACUCCGGCUACCUCCUGACGCUGGGGCUCGGGUCCGUCGGCGGCGCGGCGGCCGUGAAGUACGGCAGCGUGCUGCUCCCCGACAUCACGCGGCCCAACAUCGUGGAGGCGCUGCUCAUGGUGUCCCUGCCCAUGGCGGUCGCCGCCCUCAUCUUGCUCAAGCUCAGCUCGACGUCCACACAGGACUAG